rnacentral:misc_RNA from 1 species
GAUGAAGAACGUAGCAAAAUGCGAUACUUGGUGUGAAUUGCAGAAUCCCGUGAACCAUCGAGUCUUUGAACGCAAGUUGCGCCCGAAGCCACUAGGCCGAGGGCACGCCUGCCUGGGCGUCACACGUCGUUGCCCCCCCCCCAUCUACUCCUUCGGGAUUGCGGGGGGCGGAUGAUGGCCUCCCGUGCGCCUAGCCGCGCGGUUGGCAUAAAUACCAAGUCCUCGGCGACGCACGCCACGACAAUCGGUGGUUGCGAAACCUCGGUUGCCCGUCGUGUGCGUUCGUCGCGCAUCGAGGGCUCGAAAAAAUGCUCGGCUCCGGCUCGGCUUUCAACGCGACCCCAGGUCAGGCGGGGUUACCCGCUGAAUUUAAGCAUAUCAACAAGCGGAGGA